ACAUUGGGGCAAUUUGAUUUUGCACAGAAAUUAGAAUUCUAUGGCAAAGGGGAGGCUAUCUCUGAAAAUAACCCUCCAGUGGUGCAGAGUGGGGACCAUGGCCAAGAGAGGAGCUGACUUUCCCUCUGUCACUGUGGGACUCAGGUCAUGGUAAAGUUGGAUGUCAUCCUUUGUCCCUUAACUUGCUAUGUCAUGUUAUCUGUAUAUUUGUGCAUUAGAGACGCAUGACUCCUGGAUUAGGGUUUCUCAGGGAGUCCAUGUAUGUGUGGGCACAUGUCCCUGAUGACAACCUCUAAAGCAGAUGCUAGAAUGACCCCUGGGAACAUGUUGAGAAGCUAUGGAGGCCCUGCAAGGCACAAUGACUUCCUCAGGGCCACACACAUACCCACAAGAAGGGGAAGGGUCUCAACCAAGCUCUGCCUCCCCAAACCAAGGGAGCUGGCUACACCCGGGCCUGUCUGAGGGCCUGAUCCAGGGUGUGUUGGUGUAACUGGGUCCACCUGUGCCUAUGUCAUGGGAAGACUGCAGCCCAGUGGGCCAUUGGAACCAUCUUGUGUAAGAAAGGGACUCAGCAAAGGACUUCCUGAGACAGUGACCUCACUUCCUUGGCCAUGGAACUCACAGUCCCAGUCUGCUCACUGGUGUUGAGACAGCAAGCCCAGAGCCAUGAGUUCUUGUUGUCUACAGAUCUGUGGGUGCUUAAGCCUCAGGGCUUUUCCUGAGUGUGGAGGUGCUGGGUCAGCGCUGUGUCCCAACGACUCUGGCAAUUUUUCCCAAGGAGACCAGAAGUGAGACAGGACAGGGCACCACAGGUGUCCAUAGUUUAACCCACAUUCAGAUUCCCCUUUCAAAAGUGCCAGAUCUCACCAGGUUUGUGUGUGUGUGUGUGUGUGUGUGUGUGUGUGUGUGUGUGUGUGUGUGAUGUCUCCUGAGAAUAUGGAGGGAAAAUAUUUUGAUUUCCCCUGACGUAUGGCAGUGAUUCCUUUUGCAAAUGGCUACCGUUUUCCUGUUGAAAUGUCCCUCUUUGAUUGCCCAUCCUAGGGAGAAGAUGACCAAGGCUCAUCAGUGGAUGUGUCCUGUCUUGUGGAAACCCUCACAGUACUUCUCUGGGAGCUCGAGGAUGGCCUGGUGCCUGCCCUGCAGCAGGGGAACACCCCCUAUGUCCAUGGGGUUUUGUAUUUGUACCAAGAUUUGGCCAGUACCCAGAAGGCUCUGGAGCUGCUGGGUAAAAGGUAUGGACGCCUCCAGCCAUAUGUUGAGGAGGAGUACCUUCAAGACAAGAAAUCAUGACUCACCUUCUUCUCAUUCCCUAAGAAACAAUAUUGAAGUUAGACCAGUUAAUUACUCUGUAAUGGACUGAACAGUUGGAAAAAAAGGAAGAGUUCCAAGUUUUGCAUUCCAAAUAGAAAGCUGUGCCUUGGGCUGGGCUGUAGCUCAGUGGCAGAGUGCUUGCCUAGAAUGUAUGAGGCACUGAGUUCAAUCCUUAGCACUACAAAAAAAAAAAAAAAAAAAAAAAAAAAAAAACAACUAAACAAAGAAAGGCAUGCUGUUGAUCUAAAACUAUUUAAGAAAGAAAGAAAGAAAAAAAAAAAG